CAGGUAGGAUGAUUAGACAGUGCAAAAUACCUCAACAGAUUGUCCUACCAGUGCAAAAUAAACAGGUAGGAUGAUUUUACAGUGCAAAAUACCUCAUCAGAUUGUGCUACCAGUGCAAAAUAAACAGGUAGGAUGAUUUGACAGUGCAAAAUA